CUUGCAGCUAAUGAGGUUGUUUUUCUUAAAUUAUUUUUUAAGUCCUUAUAUUUUUGUUAUUUGUUUUUUGGGAAGCAGCAUCCACAUUGACUUCAGCAUAACUCUGGCAGUAACAGACCUAAUUCUGGGGCUAUUCUGUAAUGUGUGUAUGCUGAAGACAAAAGAGCCAUACUUCAAAUCCAGAGGGAAAUAAGAACAACCUCUACCAACCACCAGAAUUUAAUCACACAGCCACUUAGAUGCAGUGAAUUUGCCUUCAAGGAUAAAUCUUCAAGUUUUACUCAUAGUGCAGUGUUGCUUUCCGUACAUCCCGUGCCCCCGCAAGACGCCUACUACAACAGUCCAGGAAUACUCUGGCAUACGUCCUGUUGACUGGCCUGUGCUUCUUUCUGAAGAUAGAUCUUUGGUAUGAAAACAGAUGCCUGGUUUUCUUCUUUUACAGGAUGCUUUAGCAACAGAGACAGAUGCUGGCGGUAUGGGAGUAGAGGUCGAACCUUCCCACCAAUAUCCUGUUACAUUUUGUUGCCACGUGACUGAUGACAGCAGUGGGGCAACCUGACAAUAUGACGUCAGACAUAGAAUUGCGUAUGAAACAAAGGAAUUGAAUUCUUCCAAGUGGAAAAAAAUACACUCAUUAACAUUCACUAACACUUGAUGAACAGUGUUAGAGAGUGAAGAGUGGAUGUGAGCACUGUAAGGUG
ensembl:lncRNA